rnacentral:rRNA from 1 species
CACGUAGGAGGCGAGCGUUGUCCGGAAUCAUUGGGCGUAAAGAGCGCGCAGGCGGCUUGGCAAGUCGGGUGUGAAAUCCCGGGGCUCAACCCCGUGACUGCAUCCGAUACUGUCAGGCUAGAGGUAGGUAGGGGAGAUCGGAAUUCCUGGUGUAGCGGUGAAAUGCGCAGAUAUCAGGAGGAACACCGGUGGCGAAGGCGGAUCUCUGGGCCUGCACUGACGCUCGAUGCACGAAAGCGUGGGGAGCAAACAGG